rnacentral:rRNA from 1 species
GGGUGAGUAACACGUAUGCAACCUGCCCCUGUCAGGGGGACAACCCGCCGAAAGGCGGGCUAAACCCGCGUACAUGCCACCGGGGCAUCCCGGAGGCAGGAAAGGCUUCGGCCGGACAGGGAUGGGCAUGCGGCGCAUUAGGCAGUAGGCGGGGUAACGGCCCACCUAACCGACGAUGCGUAGGGGUUCUGAGAGGAAGGUCCCCCACACUGGUACUGAGACACGGACCAGACUCCUACGGGAGGCAGCAGUGAGGAAUAUUGGUCAAUGGUCGGGAGACUGAACCAGCCAAGCCGCGUGAGGGAUGAAGGUACAGAGUAUCGUAAACCUCUUUUGUCAGGGAACAAAGGCGGGGACGUGUCCCCGGAUGAGUGUACCUGAAGAAAAAGCAUCGGCUAACUCCGUGCCAGCAGCCGCGGUAAUACGGAGGAUGCGAGCGUUAUCCGGAUUUAUUGGGUUUAAAGGGUGCGCAGGCGGUCUGUUAAGUCAGCGGUCAAAGCCCGGGGCUCAACCCCGGCCCGCCGUUGAAACUGGCAGUCUCGAGUUGGAGAGAAGUAUGCGGAAUGCGCGGUGUAGCGGUGAAAUGCAUAGAUAUCGCGCAGAACUCCGAUUGCGAAGGCAGCAUGCCGGCUCCACACUGACGCUGAGGCACGAAAGCGUGGGUAUCGAACAGGAUUAGAUACCCUGGUAGUCCACGCAGUAA